rnacentral:rRNA from 1 species
UACGUAGGGGGCAAGCGUUGUCCGGAUUUAUUGGGCGUAAAGAGCGUGUAGGCGGCCACACAGGUCUGCUGUGAAAACUCGAGGCUCAACCUCGAGCUGUCGGUGGAAACCGUGUGGCUAGAGUCCGGAAGAGGAGAGUGGAAUUCCUGGUGUAGCGGUGAAAUGCGCAGAUAUCAGGAAGAACACCCGUGGCGAAGGCGGCUCUCUGGGACGGUACUGACGCUGAGACGCGAAAGCGUGGGGAGCGAACAGG